GAUGAACGCUGGCGGCGUGCCUAAUACAUGCAAGUCGCGCGAACAGACGAGGAGCUUGCUCCUCUGACGUUAGCGGCGGACGGGUGAGUAACACGUGGAUAACCUACCUAUAAGACUGGGAUAACUUCGGGAAACCGGAGCUAAUACCGGAUAAUAUAUUGAACCGCAUGGUUCAAUAGUGAAAGACGGUUUUGCUGUCACUUAUAGAUGGAUCCGCGCCGCAUUAGCUAGUUGGUAAGGUAACGGCUUACCAAGGCAACGAUGCGUAGCCGACCUGAGAGGGUGAUCGGCCACACUGGAACUGAGACACGGUCCAGACUCCUACGGGAGGCAGCAGUAGGGAAUCUUACGCAAUGGGCGAAAGCCUGACGGAGCAAAGCCGCGUGAGUGAUGAAGGUCUUCGGAUCGUAAAACUCUGUUAUUAGGGAAGAACAAAUGUGUAAGUAACUAUGCACGUCUUGACGGUACCUAAUCAGAAAGCCACGGCUAACUACGUG
rnacentral:rRNA from 1 species